AUUGAACGCUGGCGGCAGGCCUAACACAUGCAAGUCGAGCGGACGAAGGGAGCUUGCUCCCGGAUUCAGCGGCGGACGGGCGAGUAAUUCCUAGGAAUCUGCCCGGCAUUGGGGGAUAACGUCCGGACACGGGAGCUAAUACCACAUACGUUCUGAGGGAGAACGUGGGGAUCCUCGGGCCUCACGCUAUUUGAUGAGCCUAGGUCGGAUUAGCUAGUUGGUGGGGUAAAGGCCUACCAAGGCGACGAUCCGUAACUGGCCUGAGAGGAUGAUCAGUCACACUGGAACUGAGACACGGUCCAGACUCCUACGGGAGGCAGCAGUGGGGAAUAUUGGACAAUGGGCGAAAGCCUGAUCCAGCCAUGCCGCGUGUGUGAAGAAGGUCUUCGGAUUGUAAAGCACUGUUAGUUGGGAAGAAGAACAGUAAGUUAAUACAUUGCUGUUUUGACGGUACCAAAAGAAUAAGCACCGGCUAACUUCGUG
rnacentral:rRNA from 1 species